AUACGGAGUGUGCGAGCGUUACUCGGAUUCACUGGGCAUAAAGCGCACGUAGGCGGGUUGCCAAGUCGGCCGUGAAAGCCCCCGGCUCAACCGGGGAAUUGCGACCGAAACUGGCAGCCUUGAGGACGAGAGGGGAGAGCGGAACUUCUGGUGGAGCGGUGAAAUGCGUAGAUAUCAGAAGGAACACCGGUGGCGAAAACGGCUCUCUGGCUCGUUUCUGACGCUGAGGUGCGAAAGCGUGGGGAGCGAACGGGAGUAGAAACCCCAGUAGUCC
rnacentral:rRNA from 1 species